rnacentral:rRNA from 1 species
UCAACAACGGAUCUCUUGGUUCCGGCAUCGAUGAAGAACGCAGCGAAAUGCGAUAAGUAAUGUGAAUUGCAGAAUUCCGUGAAUCAUUGAAUCUUUGAACGCACAUUGCGCCCCCUGGCAUUCCGGGGGGCAUGCCUGUCCGAGCGUCAU